CUGACUUCACCCCGAGGCCCCGCCUCCCACGUGCGGGUGCUCCUCUCCCAGAGCUCACCAGUCCUUCCAGCAGUCCUCAGGUUGCACGCGACCAGCAGUGGACUUUACUGAGUAGGGGUGGGAAGCCGGUGGCUCCGGGCAGCCGUGAUAACCCGGCACAGAAGCAGAGUCGCAUUUCGGAGCGUCCACCCGUAACCUGGCUUCUCGCACAUGGAGCCCAUAGUCCAGGAGAGAGAAGGCCAGGGCGGCCCUGGAGAGGUUGUAGGUGCAGGCGGAUCGGCGGCGGAGACCCCUUCGUGCUCAGGAAGGCACUGUGAGCUGCAUGGAGCUGAACCCCUUUCCCAGACAGUAGAGUCUCCCCUCCCCCUCCGGGGACCUUUACCUGUCACCUCCUGAAGGAUCGAACAGGGAUUGUCCACUAAAGUAGCCUUAGGUACCAUUUGUCUAGGGCACGCUGGCUGGGCCUCAGAACUUAGUACUCUGGGCCAUUGAGCUGUCCAUGGAGAACAGGGAGCAUCACUUUUAUGUAGGGAUUGUGCCCGGGGCUGGGGCAUGGGCUGGAGCUAAUGUCCACAGGCAGUGCCAGCAAUAUGCCAAAUGCACCAAGCACCAAGGCAAAGCCACAAGGCUGCAGAUGACUUCUUUCAGGCAACUCAGUUUUGUGCUAGACCUCAAUAGACUUUCUUUUGUCAGGACCAUGCAAAGAGUGGAACACCAGCUAUUCAAGGGUGUAGAUGAAAGUUGCUCCCCAAAACUAAGAGUUGUGUGAGUUACAUUUAGACCCUGCAUCCAAAGGUUUAUUAAGAUAACCUAAAAUGCCUUUGAGAUGACAAACGUUAGGACUCAUCAUUUUACUUAGAUUUGCCUCCUACCGUUAUAAUUUUAGGCUCCCUCAUAAUCCUACUAACAUUCUAUUCUCUCUGUACUAUUUUUUCUUUCAUUCAACAAUAUCGUUUCAUCCUGGCCAAGUUCUUUCCUCUCUUCCUUCCCAGCAUGCACUUGGUUCUGCUGUAGACUCCACUCUCUUCAGUACCACAACAGGACUACUUAUUCCUUAGGCGAUGUACAGCCAAACAAGGUGACUAGCUGCCUGCCAGGAGACCUUAUUAAAAGAUUUCAUUUCUUCGCAUCCAGCUCUGUUUCCUGAGGCAUUUGCAAACCAAUUCAGCACUAUGGAAAAACAAGUCCAGGAAAGAAAUGUUUUAAAAGCUGGCACAUCAAGCUGGGUACAAUGUCUCAUACCUGCACUUGGAAAUCUGAAGCAGGAGGAAGGCGGAAAGGCUUGGGCUACAAGUGAGACUGUCUCAGAAAACAAAAAAACAAACAAAUUACUCCCCCCCCCAUCCCCCAGAAAACCAAAACCAAAACAGAAAGUAAAAGAAUAACAUGAUGUCCUGGUGUCAGUGGCUCUUGGAUCUCUCUAGUUUUCUCUAUUUUGACAAUAUCAACAAACUAAUUCCUUAGAACCACCAUGUGGCAAUGUGACUUGCAGAUGCCUCAGAAAUGGGCUACUGUGUGGUAUCUCGGUAGAGGAUUCGUAUGAUUUCUUUCAUGACUGUACAUGCUUUCCUUCUUAAUGCUUUGGCUUUGCCUACUUACUAGAAGUGUUCAAUGGCACACAGAUGCUUUCUCUGUACUGUCUAUUCUCACUCAGUCUAGUUCCGCAUUUGAUGUUGGUGUCUUCUCCAGACACCAAUGCCACAGAGUGUUGACAUAGGCAAAGUUCAUCUGUAGAAGAUCCUUUCCAUAGCCUGAGUGUUGCCAAGGCUUUCUUAGGAAAAGCCUUCCAAAUGUUAGAGGCCCGGAGUUUUAGCAUGAGUGUCUUGUCAAAUAAUCUCAAUAAAGAGAAUCAUUGUCCCAAGGA
rnacentral:lncRNA from 1 species